UCGAGAUGAAAUCAAUGCAACUUCAAUGGAGUCACGUGUCACCUCAGAUGAAAGACUUGAAUAAAAUGUCUAGCUUAUGUCAUUUCUACAGUGGCUUAUGAUCAAUCAGUUUCUAUGGUGGAUAAUAGAGAGUAAAAAUCUCUAGUAUCUCAUUUAUUGAACUUUGGAGAUCAGGAGGUGUUCUGCUUAUAUAUCUUUGCUAGAGAAGGCUUGAUGGAUCUGAUAAGUUCAAGUCCUUACCAAAUCAACUAAACGGUCUCAUAUCUCUUAA